rnacentral:rRNA from 1 species
UACGUAGGGGGCUAGCGUUGUCCGGAAUCAUUGGGCGUAAAGCGCGUGUAGGCGGUUCGGUAAGUCCGCUGUGAAAGUCGGGGGCUCAACCCUCGAAUGCCGGUGGAUACUGUCGGGCUAGAGUGCGGAAGAGGCGAGUGGAAUUCCCGGUGUAGCGGUGAAAUGCGCAGAUAUCGGGAGGAACACCAAUGGCGAAGGCAGCUCGCUGGGACGGUACUGACGCUGAGACGCGAAAGCGUGGGGAGCAAACAGG